rnacentral:tRNA from 1 species
CACGUGGCUCAGUUGGUAGAGCUUGGCGCUUGAAACGCCAGGGUUGUAGGUUCCAUUCCUGCUGUG